rnacentral:rRNA from 1 species
AUGGGCGAGGUGAACCAGGGGGCGGAUCAGGCGGCUGAUGAUCUCGUGGAGGUUGAAGCUGCCCCUGCAGAUGUUCUUCCAGAUAACCAGGACGGAGCAGCCGUGGUGGAGAACCAGGCGGUAGAUUUCGGGCUGGAGGUGGUGGCGGAGCAUGACCUGGACGCGAAGGGAGAGGAUGGAUUGGUGGAGUCGGCAGAGCUUGAGGAGUUCGAUGAGUCAGUGAUGUUUUGGAGUGGUGAGGAGGAGUCUGAGGAUGAAGAUGAGGUGUGCUCCUCCGCGCAGAAGCGUCCUCAUCUGAACUAG